UACGGAGGGGGCCAGCGUUGUUCGGAAUCAUUGGGCGUAAAGGGCGCGUAGGCGGUUCGGCAAGUCAGUUGUGAAAUCCCUCGGCUCAACCGAGGAAUGGCGUCUGAAACUGCCGAACUCGAGUCCCGGAGAGGGUAGCGGAAUUCCCAGUGUAGCGGUGAAAUGCGUAGAUAUUGGGAGGAACAUCAGUGGCGAAGGCGGCUACCUGGACGGGUACUGACGCUGAGGCGCGAAAGCGUGGGGAGCAAACAGG
rnacentral:rRNA from 1 species